UUACGGGAGGCAGCAGUGGGGAAUCUUAGACAAUGGGCGCAAGCCUGAUCUAGCCAUGCCGCGUGUGUGAUGAAGGUCUUAGGAUCGUAAAGCACUUUCGCCAGGGAUGAUAAUGACAGUACCUGGUAAAGAAACCCCGGCUAACUCCGUGCCAGCAGCCGCGGUAAUACGGAGGGGGUUAGCGUUGUUCGGAAUUACUGGGCGUAAAGCGUACGUAGGCGGAUCAGAAAGUUAGGGGUGAAAUCCCGAGGCUCAACCUCGGAACUGCCUCUAAAACUCCUGGUCUUGAGUUCGAGAGAGGUGAGUGGAAUUCCAAGUGU
rnacentral:rRNA from 1 species